CCUACGGGAGGCUACAGUGAGGAAUAUUGGUCAAUGGACGCGAGUCUGAACCAGCCAAGUAGCGUGAAGGAUGACUGCCCUACGGGUUGUAAACUUCUUUUAUAUGGGAAUAAAGUGUUCCACGUGUGCGUUUUUGUAUGUACUUUAUGAAUAAGGAUCGGCUAACUCCGUGCCAGCAGCCGCGGUAAUCCGGAGGAUCCGAGCGUUAUCCGGAUUUAUUGGGUUUAAAGGGAGCGUAGAUGGGUUGUUAAGUCAGUUGUGAAAGUUUGCGGCUCAACCGUAAAAUUGCAAUUGAUACUGGCAGCCUUGAGUACAGUUGAGGUAGGCGGAAUUCGUGGUGUAGCGGUGAAAUGCUUAGAUAUCACGAAGAACUCCGAUUGCGAAGGCAGUUUACUAAACUGCAACUGACAUUGAUGCUCGAAAGUGUGGGUAUCAAACAGGAUUAGAUACCCGUGUAGUC
rnacentral:rRNA from 1 species